AGCUAGCCUUCAGAUUUGUCUGCUAACAGUAAAAAUACUAUAAUAAAUCGGUAACAUAUGUUGCCAGGCAAGGAAAAGUGAUAUAAAUAAAGAGACUGGGAGACCCAAACCAAAUUGCAUUCUUACCCAAAUACUCUUCGUGAUUGCCUGCUUUGCGGUUUUGGGCCGAUGCAAGCUGCAAAAUGGUGAGUCUUCUAAGGUGCCUUUCCUUCCCUGGGAUCCUCAUCUUAGAAUGAGCAGAGGCACAUCGAUAAGAACUGGACCUUGAUUUCACAACCUCAUACAAAGCCAGGCAAUUCUUGAGCCAAACAAACAAAGGGGGUGUAAGCGAUUUCAUUUAUUUUGAUAAUCCUCCUCUUGCACGGGAGCAUUUUGCUGUCUUUGUCAAAGUGAAUGACAACAAUUUGGCCAACUCUCUCUGAGCUGCACUCAACAGUGACAGGCAAAUUAUCAGAGGCCCUGCACUUCUUAUUAUCAGAGGAGAAGCCAUCAGGGGGACGCAUGGAGGAUACCUCUCCCUUGUCACUAUUUGUCAGUGGGACAAGGGCCA
rnacentral:lncRNA from 1 species